CACGUAGGCGGCCUGGUAAGUCAGAUGUGAAAGCCCGGGGCUUAACCCCGGAAGUGCAUUUGAUACUGUCAGGCUUGAGUAUGGGAGAGGGAAGUGGAAUUCCUGGUGUAGAGGUGAAAUUCGUAGAUAUCAGGAGGAACACCGGUGGCGAAGGCGACUUCCUGGACCAAUACUGACGCUGAGGUGCGAAGGCGUGGGGAGCAAACAGGAUUAGAUACCCUGGUAGUCC
rnacentral:rRNA from 1 species